ensembl:lncRNA
AGAACUAACAAAUUUGGGACAAAAUGUGUCCAUAAACUGUGAUCUUGAAGAAAAAGAGAUUUAUUGGAUGCUGCUACAACUACCAAAUCGUCCAGUUAUGAUAUUGCGGUUGUUUUCAACUUCGCCAACUCCUUUUUACUACGAUGCAAGUUUCAAAGCCAAAUAUUCAGUGCAACCUAAACAUCAUCUAUUUAUAAACAAUGUCACCCUUGAUGAGUUAGGCAUUUAUUACUGCAUGACCACAGAGGCACCUCCAAGAUUCAGCAACGGCACCAGACUUCACAUCACUGAACCAACUAAAUUACCUGAGUGCCAGAAUCACACUGUGGUGAAGUUUGUUGAGCAGAAUCAUACAGUGGUGAAUUUUACCGACCAAAUUCAGAGACCAUGGAUGAUUAUUGUUAUCUUAUCUGGUCUGAUACAUGGUGUUCUGGUCUUUGUGGUCAUUGGUAAGUUCUGUUCUUUAAUAUCAUUUAAAUUAAUUUAAUCUAUCUGUAAAAUAUGACCAUGAUUCUCUUCUCUUAUAGGUGUGUGUUGCUACUCUGGAGAAAAAUUAAAAAGACAAGAAGAAGAUUUAGAGGAGACUCAGUUCAUGCCUCUGGAAAAACUUCAAGAGACAAAGAUGAUGGUAAAUAAUGCAAAACCAUCUCUUUUUGGUUUACAUUGAUUUAAUUAUUCAUUACUUUAAAGAUUACUUU